rnacentral:rRNA from 1 species
GGCCUAACACAUGCAAGUCGAGCGGCAGCACAGGCGUAGCAAUACGUUGGGUGGCGAGCGGCGGACGGGUGAGGAACACAUCGGAAUCUACCCUGUCGUGGGGGACAACGUAGGGAAACUUACGCUAAUACCGCAUACGACCGCGCAUUGACAGAUGCGCGGUGAAAGCGGGGGACUCGCAAGAGCCUCGCGCGACUGGAUGAGCCGAUGUCCGAUUAGCUAGUUGGCGGGGUAAUGGCCCACCAAGGCGACGAUCGGUAGCUGGUCUGAGAGGACGACCAGCCACACUGGAACUGAGACACGGUCCAGACUCCUACGGGAGGCAGCAGUGGGGAAUAUUGGACAAUGGGGGCAACCCUGAUCCAGCCAUGCCGCGUGGGUGAAGAAGGCCUUCGGGUUGUAAAGCCCUUUUGUACGGGA